GUGGGAGCAAAUCAAGAUGAGGCGAUUGCUGUAAAUAUUUAUGCUGCUAAUGUUGCAAAUCUAUUCUCUGGUGAAGGAGCUCAGGCUGCUCAGACUGCACCUGUUCAAGAAGGUGCUCAACAAGAAGGAGCUCAACAGCCAGCACCNGUCNCAGCACCUUCAAUGGAUAUGACAUUGUUACACUUCUUAGACCUAAUACAUCUCUUGCUAUAAUAAUAAAUGCUUAUACUGAACUUGAUAUCCUGAACNUGAACUGUGCUGAUUUAUGCACUUGCAUUCAUGUACAUCAUACUGUUACAUUUUGGGAAGCAGAUUUGUUUGACAACAUGUGCAUUUGGUUAUAUUGAGCUUGAUCAGCAAUUCUAUUAAUUUCGUCUGUAAGUUGCUCUAUUUCAAUUUGUAUAGAACCUCUGUCUGC
rnacentral:misc_RNA from 1 species